AAUGAACGCUGGCGGCAGGCCUAACACAUGCAAGUCGAACGGAUCCUUCGGGAUUAGUGGCGGACGGGUGAGUAACGCGUGGGAACAUACCCUUUGGUACGGAAUAGCCUCGGGAAACUGGGAGUAAUACCGUAUGUGGUCGAGAGACGAAAGAUUUAUCGCCAAAGGAUUGGCCCGCGUUGGAUUAGGUAGUUGGUGGAGUAAUGGCCUACCAAGCCGACGAUCCAUAGCUGGUUUGAGAGGAUGAUCAGCCACACUGGGACUGAGACACGGCCCAGACUCCUACGGGAGGCAGCAGUGGGGAAUCUUAGACAAUGGGGGAAACCCUGAUUUAGCCAUGCCGCGUGAUCGAUGAAGGCCUUAGGGUUGUAAAGAUCUUUCAGGUGGGAAGAUAAUGACUGUACCACCAGAAGAAGCCCCGGCUAACUCCGUGCCAGCCGCCGCAGUAA
rnacentral:rRNA from 1 species